rnacentral:rRNA from 1 species
AUCAACUUUCGAUGGUAGGAUAGAGGCCUACCAUGGUGGUAACGGGUAACGGGGUGUUAGGGCACGACACCGGAGAGGGAGCCUGAGAAACGGCUACCACAUCCAAGGAUGGCAGCAGGCGCGCAAAUUACCCAAUCCCGACACGGGGAGGUAGUGACAAUAAAUAACAAUACGGGGUUCUUUCGGAUUUCGUAAUUGGAAUGAGUACAAUUUAAAUCUCUUAACGAGGAACAAUUGGAGGGCAAGUCUGGUGCCAGCAGCCGCGGUAAUUCCAGCUCCAAUAGCGUAUAUUAAAGUUGUUGCAGUUAAAAAGCUCGUAGUUGAAUUUCGGGAUCGACGGGUCGGUCGCGCCUCUGGUGUGUACUGGCCCUGUCGGUUUCUCCCUUCUGACGAACCACGAUGUCAUUAAUUUGGUGUCGUGGGAAAUCAGGACUGUUACUUUGAAAAAAUUAGAGUGUUUAAAGCAGGCAUUCGCUUGAAUACAUUAGCAUGGAAUAAUGAAAUAGGACGUUUGAUCUUAUUUUGUUGGUUUCUAAGAUCGACGUAAUGAUUAAUAGGGAUAGUUGGGGGCAUUAGUAUUCAAUUGUCAGAGGUGAAAUUCUUGGAUUUAUUGAAGACUAACUACUGCGAAAGCAUUUGCCAAGGAUGUUUUCAUUAAUCAAGAACGAAAGUUAGGGGAUCGAAGACGAUCAGAUACCGUCGUAGUCUUAACCAUAAACUAUGCCGACUAGGGAUCGGAUGAUGUUAAUUUUUUAAUGACUCAUUCGGCGCCUUACGGGAAACCAAAGUGUUUGGGUUC